rnacentral:rRNA from 1 species
UACGUAGGGGGCAAGCGUUGUCCGGAAUCAUUGGGCGUAAAGCGCGUGUAGGCGGCUCGGUAAGUCCGCUCUGAAAGUCCAGGGCUCAACCCUGGGAUGCGGGUGGAUACUGUCGGACUAGAGUCCGGAAGAGGCAAGUGGAAUUCCUGGUGUAGCGGUGAAAUGCGCAGAUAUCAGGAAGAACACCAAUGGCGAAGGCAGCUCUCUGGGACGGUACUGACGCUGAGACGCGAAAGCGUGGGGAGCGAACAGG